UUUUUUUUUAUAUAUAUACAUACACGCAAGUGUACACGUAAAACAUUGAAUACAUUAUCGAAAUGAACGACUGCUUACCUUCAUGCGUUAUACAUUAUACCGUAUACGCGUAUUCCCGACUAUAUUAUUAUACUUACAACUCCGUCGUAAAGAGUUUGUGUUUAUAAUUUUUUUUUUUUUUUUCGUAUUUCCAAGAGUGUAAAAUAUCGUACGCGAACGCUUAUCGCGUAAUGAAUAUAUUACGGUAUUAUUAUUGUACGCGAAAACACAUAAAU